ensembl:lncRNA
AAAAACCCGGACCGGGCCGCCUGGCCACCCUUUGUGCGGGUGUCCGCUCCCCAGGCUCCGAAAGCCUUGCCAGCCCUUGUGAUCGGGUGGCACCGCCCACCAGGCGUGUGAAAGAAAGAAGAAAAGAAGAAAAAGCCCGGACCGGGCCGCCUGGCCACCCUUUGUGCGGGUGUCCGCUCCCCAGGCUCCGAAAGCCUUGCCAGCCCUUGUGAUCGGGUGGCACCGCCCACCAGGCGUGUGAAAGAAAGAGAAAGAAGAAAAAACCCGGACCGGGCCGCCUGGCCACCCUUUGUGCGGGUGUCCGCUCCCCAGGCUCCGAAAGCCCUGCCAGCCCUUGUGAUCGGGUGGCACCGCCCACCAGGCGUGUGAAAGAAAGAAGAAAAGAAGAAAAAGCCCGGACCGGGCCGCCUGGCCACCCUUUGUGCGGGUGUCCGCUCCCCAGGCUCCGAAAGCCUUGCCAGCCCUUGUGAUCGGGUGGCACCGCCCACCAGGCGUGUGAAAGAAAGAAGAAAAGAAGAAAAAACCCGGACCGGGCCGCCUGGCCACCCUUUGUGCGGGUGUCCGCUCCCCAGGCUCCGAAAGCCUUGCCAGCCCUUGUGAUCGGGUGGCACCGCCCACCAGGCGUGUGAAAGAAGGAAGAAAAAACCCGGACCGGGCCGCCUGGCCACCCUUUGUGCGGGUGUCCGCUCCCCAGGCUCCGAAAGCCUUGCCAGCCCUUGUGAUCGGGUGGCACCGCCCACCAGGCGUGUGAAAGAAGGAAGAAAAAACCCGGACCGGGCCGCCUGGCCACCCUUUGUGCGGGUGUCUGCUCCCCAGGCUCCGAAAGCCCUGAGAGCGAUUGUGAUCGGGUGGCACCGCCCACCAGGCGUGUGAAAGAAAGAAGAAAAGAAGAAAAAACCCAGACCGGGCCGCCUGGCCACCCUUUGUGCGGGUGUCCGCUCCCCAGGCUCCGAAAGCCUUGCCAGCCCUUGUGAUCGGGUGGCACCGCCCACCAGGCGUGUGAAAGAAAGAAGAAAAGAAGAAAAAACCCGGACCGGGCCGCCUGGCCACCCUUUGUGCGGGUGUCCGCUCCCCAGGCUCCGAAAGCCUUGCCAGCCCUUGUGAUCGGGUGGCACCGCCCACCAGGCGUGUGAAAGAAAGAAGAAAAAACCCGGACCGGGCCGCCUGGCCACCCUUUGUGCGGGUGUCCGCUCCCCAGGCUCCGAAAGCCUUGCCAGCCCUUGUGAUCGGGUGGCACCGCCCACCAGGCGUGUGAAAGAAGGAAGAAAAAACCCGGACCGGGCCGCCUGGCCACCCUUUGUGCGGGUGUCCGCUCCCCAGGCUCCGAAAGCCUUGCCAGCCCUUGUGAUCG